rnacentral:rRNA from 1 species
AUUGAACGCUGGCGGCAGGCCUAACACAUGCAAGUCGCACGAGUGGCGGACGUGUGAGUAAUGUCUGGGAAACUGCCUGAUGGAGGGGGAUACCUACUGGAAACGGUAGCUAAUACCGCAUACCAUACGAUGUUCCCAGAUGGGAUUUGCUAGUUGGUGGGGUAAAGGAUCACCAAGGCGACGAUCCCUAGCUGGUCUGAGAGGAGGACAAGCCAAACUGGAACUGAGACACGGGCCAGACUCCGACGGGAGGCAGCAGUGGGGAAGAUUGCACAAUGGGCGCAAGCCUGAUGCAGCCAUGCCGCGUGUAGGAAGAAGGCCUUCGGGUUGUAAAGUACUUGAAGCGGGGAGGCGUUACCAGCAGAAGAAGCACCGGCUAACUCCGUGCCAGCAGCCGCGGUAAUUC